rnacentral:rRNA from 1 species
AACGCGUAUGCAAUCUACCUUUUACAGAGGGAUAGCCCAGAGAAAUUUGGAUUAAUACCUCAUAGCAUUGCAGGAUGGCAUCAUCCAGCAAUUAAAGUCACAACGGUAAAAGAUGAGCAUGCGUCCCAUUAGCUAGUUGGUAAGGUAACGGCUUACCAAGGCUACGAUGGGUAGGGGUCCUGAGAGGGAGAUCCCCCACACUGGUACUGAGACACGGACCAGACUCCUACGGGAGGCAGCAGUGAGGAAUAUUGGACAAUGGGCGCAAGCCUGAUCCAGCCAUGCCGCGUGCAGGAUGACGGUCCUAUGGAUUGUAAACUGCUUUUAUACGAGAAGAAACACUACUUCGUGAAGUAGCUUGACGGUAUCGUAAGAAUAAGGAUCGGCUAACUCCGUGCCAGCAGCCGCGGUAAUACGGAGGAUCCAAGCGUUAUCCGGAAUCAUUGGGUUUAAAGGGUCCGUAGGCGGUUUAAUAAGUCAGUGGUGAAAGCCCAUCGCUCAACGGUGGAACGGCCAUUGAUACUGUUAAACUUGAAUUAUUAGGAAGUAACUAGAAUAUGUAGUGUAGCGGUGAAAUGCUUAGAGAUUACAUGGAAUACCAAUUGCGAAGGCAGGUUACUACUAAUGGAUUGACGCUGAUGGACGAAAGCGUGGGUAGCGAACAGGAUUAGAUACCCUGGUAGUCCACGCCGUAAACGAUGGAUACUAGCUGU